GCCCCUGUGGCCUAAUGGAUAAGGCAUCGGUCUCCUUUACCGGGGAUUGUGGCUUCGAGUCCCACCAGGGUUA
rnacentral:tRNA from 1 species